AGUUGGAAGAGUUUCCUUCUAUUAUUCCAUGCUCUGUAAUUCACCCUGGGACCAAAUCUUGCUUAGUUCACGAUGCUAAUGCAGCGGCUGCUACUUUCCGGAAAACAUUUCCUCUUUACUUCUCUUUGACUUUUGUGCCCUUUGUCGUUCUACGCUUACAGAAGUUUAUGGACGCUCCUACACGCACCUGUUGGUAUGCUCUUACAGGGGCUGUUCGCUCGACAACCUUCUUGUCCGCUUUUGUUGGAAUCUUUCAGGCUGUCAUAUGUUGCCACCGGAAGGUGGCAU
rnacentral:misc_RNA from 1 species